UGGAAAGGAGAAGCACAAACGUUGACACCAGGGGAAAGACUUCAAAAGCAAGAACGACAGAGACAGAUACACAGCAAGAGAGGCCAGAGGAGAGUUUCAAAGAGUCAAAGGGGAAGGGAUUCCUGUUGUCGAGAAAAACCUGCUUCACAAAAGGGAAAAUCAAACUGAUGAAAAGCAAGAAGGCCAUUUCGUGGGGGACGACGGCCAUUUCCAGGACCAAAACCAAACUGAGGAAGGGAGAGACUGCAUUUGUGGUGGGUACAACUACAAUCACUCACAGGGAGACCACUAGUUCUUUGAGCAAGGCCACUUUGAGUCAAGGAGAGAAAUCUGUGACUGUGGUCAAAACGUCCAUCAAAAGAGGCAAGGAGUCUCAAUGGAACCUCUACUGGGAUUUUCAUCUGUGACAAAUGUAACCAUAAACAGUAAAUGUACGUGCUCAAAGACUUUGUUCUAGACCGUUCAAGCAGGCAGGACCAGGAUAUGUUGAUUCCUAUAAAAUGUUCCACCCAUUCAUCCAAUCAAUCCAGACUGACUUCAGAUUGGAAAUACAAGACAAAUUUAAAUCUCAGUUGUUUACCACAGUUCGAGAUCAAACAUCCGCAUUCAUACAGUGGUGUCCAAAUAUCUGAGACCACAUUGAAAAUCUGGCAUUCAAAAUGCAACUUAAGCCGGUAAAUCAACAAGAAGUUUCUGAAUAAAAAAAAAUGAAACAUGCUUUCUGGAACACACUUGUCAGAUCAUGCUGGUAGAACAUUUUAUGUUGUCAUUAAACCAAAAUGGAGGCAUACCAAAAAAUAGAAAGAUGGUGAAAGAAUUGCUCUGAAUGAAUGAACUGAAUUUACAAAAAGUAAUUUCUGACUCUCUCACCUUGAUCUCCAAAACCUCCAAACAAAGCAUCUCUAAAAUCAAAAUAUCAUACACAAAACAAAAGCUCGGUUCCGCUGAUACGAAGACUGACUCAAAAGCUCAUCCUUGCAGAAUUCUUGAAUCAUUGGAGACCACGCUGUCACGUUAUGUGAAGGACUUUCUUAAAGAGAUGGCACUCCCGUGUUAUUUGAAAGCCAAGCAUAGGGGGCAUCAACAAGAGCCUUUCUUUGACCGCUGGAACUCUUACCUCUCAACUGGGAUGCAUUAUCAUGCCCCAUUAUACAUUUUCAUUAUGUUCCAAACCCCUAAACCUGCUCUCACAAAGAUGCCACAGAUCAACAUUACUGUAUCCCAUUGUCUUACGUACUGUAUUCUUGACUUGGAUAUCAAAACAAUGUUACGUUUACACAUUUGGAAGACAAGCCGCUAGAGAAGACCAACCAACAAACGCGUAAACGUUUUAAGUAUAUAGCCUUAUAAUGAAUCUCUGGGAUAUUUAGUCCCCCUAAAAUUGACAUUUGUUUAGUCUGGGUUUACGUUUGUGUAAACUGUGUGACUGUUUAGUUCUAUUAUUUCAGUGAUCCAGAUCAUAUGUGUGUAACUAUUGUAAAAGAAGCAACAGAUAGCAAUACCACUAAUUUUAGCACAGAAUGAACUCAGCUUUGAGAUAAGAAAUGGGUGUGGUUAUUGGUUGUGUGCUUACAAUGUGAAUCUAACUAUGUUUUCUGUUGGUCAGAACCCUUCUCCACAAUGUCAGCUGCUCUCGUUUUAGAUAUAGAUGGUUGAUAUACAUUAAGUGGAUUUGCCCUUAUACACAUAUACUAUUAUUCAAGCUACAUAAGAGCUCUGUGGGCCUUAUCUGCUAUUCUUCAUUGAACAUAUACUAUACUCAUGUUGAUUUAGGGUUACUGAAAAUGUAUUUGGUCACUAAAGACAAACCACUAGGAUGAUGCCACAGUAGCAUUCCCACUAAAAUAGAACAUUUUAAAAGCUGUUAUCGAUGUGGGCCGAGAGACAUGACAAUGAGGAUGAGGGUUUGGUGAUUGAGAGUGAAGGAAAUAAAACGUAAUGGUCUCCUGAUCUCAACAUACCAGUGAACUACAGACAGCUGAUAAAGACACGGGACAUCGUGUCCUUAUGAGCACAAAGUAAUUUGAGCUAAUUUAUUUGAUCCAAUUUAAUUGUGUAUUAUUUGAGAUUUCUUUGCUAGCAUCCGUCACUUAACAUUCAAAUUUGAAUUCUUUAUUUUUUUCUCGUCAAGUGUCCUGUGUGACUUGUCUUUAAAUGUUACAACAGCUCUGUCAGGGCCAAACAAGGAAUGUGGGUAGCAGAUGAAGUGCCCCUGCCUUUUACAACAAAAGCGUCUUUGUGUCUGUAAUAAUCUGUGAGGUCUGAAGUCCUUUUUGUCAUUCUAUCACGUUUAUUGUUUCCACACUGCAUUAGCAUAGUAUGUGUUAGAUGCGUUUAACAGCUUCUACGUUAUGCCAGACAGAUGGUAGAACUUUGGAAAGUUUGGUUCUGACCAUGAUGCUGUACGCCUAAUAAAUAUGUGCUUACAUUAAAGAAGUAUGAUUUAUUGUCUUCU